rnacentral:lncRNA from 1 species
AUUUUGAUUAACUAUUGAUCUACCAACUACGCAGGUUCAACUAUAUGGCUAUAUCAGAAUGUCACCCUUUUCUUUUAAUCAUUUUUGGGUCCUGAACCCUCCAAUUUUCACCCUUUUUUCUCCAUCUUGAAUAAAAUGUACUAACUUAAUUUCCUUAACUUAUUUUCCUUUCCAUUGUGUUAACAGGUGAAGUGCUUCUUAUUGUCCUCUUCCGCUCCGGUAAGUCCUCAAUUUUUUUCUUCAUGUAUUUCCACUUCGACAUCUGAAGACUGAGCUUCUUUCAGUUUCAUGUUUUGAUUUCGGCCUAUUGUUUUCUCACUCAUGCUUCCUUUCAAUUUGUGCUUCUAUUGUCCUCUCUUGGUAAAAUCAUCUUUUAAUUUCAUUUUGUGUGACUUUUCAGUUCGACCCUUUGUUUUUACAAGCAAAAUGUUUGUAUUUAUCAUACACAAUUACACAUAUUCUUAUUGUAGUUACAGUCGUUACAUUUCUCCCUUUUUUUCAUUUUAAAUAUGGUGUACUGAUUACUCUAAAUUUUCUCUUUAUGUUAACAGGUGAAGUGCUUCGUGGUCCUCUUCCGCUGCUGGGAAGAAUUCUUAAUUAUUUGUCUUCUUCGUGUAUUUUCACUUCGACAUCUGAAAGCUUUUGUUGCAUGUUUUGAUUUAGGUGUUUUCCGAAGAAUUUUCGCCCGAAAGUUUUUGGAUUUUGAUUUUAAAACCGCUUUAUUGUUGUGAAAAUUGAACAUCGUUUAGUGUGUAGUUGAUGUAUAGAAGUUGAGUAUUCAUUUACACUCAUAUUUCUC